AUGAACGCUGGCUACAGGCUUAACCCAUGCAAGUCGAGGGGAAACGACGGGGAAGCUUGCUUCCCCGGGCGUCGACCGGCGCACGGGUGAGUAACGCGUAUCCAACCUGCCUCUGACUGAGGGAUAACCCGUCGAAAGUCGGCCUAAUACCUCAUGGCAUCGUCUGCGGGCAUCCAACGACGAUUAAAGAUUUCAUCGGUCAGAGAUGGGGAUGCGUCUGAUUAGCUUGUUGGCGGGGUAACGGCCCACCAAGGCGACGAUCAGUAGGGGUUCUGAGAGGAAGGUCCCCCACAUUGGAACUGAGACACGGUCCAAACGCCUACGGGAGGCAGCAGUGAGGAAUAUUGGUCAAUGGGCGAGAGCCUGAACCAGCCAAGUAGCGUGCAGGAUGACGGCCCUAUGGGUUGUAAACUGCUUUUAUGCGGGGAUAAAGUGAGGGACGUGUCCUUCAUUGCAGGUACCGCAUGAAUAAGGACCGGCUAAUUCCGUG
rnacentral:rRNA from 1 species